UUAUUAUUGUUUGUUUUAAAAGGCUCUUAACAGUUACUUAAAAUCACAUGAUGGGCAACUGUGUAAUUUCAUGAUUAAAGACUAUUUUUUCAUUUACCGAGCAAAUUAGAUCAUUAGUUCUUUUCAUGACAGACAAGAUUUUCUUUACCAGUGCAAAACAAAAUUAUCUUUGGGUGUGUGCUUACUUGCUUGUUUGUUUUCCUCUCUAUCCCUGCCUCUCCUCCCAUCCACCCCUUAAAUCUUUGAACUUAAAAGUCUUAAGACUCAAAUUUUAAGAUUAAAACCAAAACACUGAUGUUUUUCUUCUAUCUGCUUAUUUGGUGCAAAGUGCAUUAUCCAAAUCUACAUUUUCUCUGUAUUCAACCAGCUUCAAGCCUCUGUAAUUCAAGCCCCAGUAAUUAAUUUCUCAUGUUGAAUUGGCAAGAGCUUCACUACAUUUUGUUUAGAAAUCUGAUUGAAAUCACUGACGAGAACUUCAGAAAGCAGCAGUUCUUCGUGUCCUUAGAGCGUGCCUUGGCCAUAGCUAGUUAACCCUUUGGAUAUCCCCAUAACCCAAACACCCUUUGUCUUAUUUCUCUAGUUUAUAUUCUGUUGUUGCCAAGUGAAAGAUCUAGGUCCAAUAGGAGUUUCCCCUCCUAGGGAUAGGGGAUUGAAAAGGAGAGUAGUUGCAAUGAAAUGGCAUAGGAACCCACUUUCAGAAUUAAGUGGGAUUGAGUUUUACCAAAAAGCACACACUGCUUGAAGAACAAGGUUUAAAAUAGGAUAUUCCUGUGAAAUUGAUUUUAACUGUUAACCUUGCAUUCCUCUGGGGACUCAGUUGAAGCUGCUGCCAAGUCCUUGUCAGACUAAAACUGGUAACAGCUUCUCUUCCGUGGUGUCUUCCAUCAUCUUGUCAUUGGCAAACAAUAUCAUCACCAGAUACAGAGUUGAGGAAUCCAUCCUCAUAAACACAGUAAAGAGGUUUAUAGCUGAGGGGGGUGGGUGUUGUCUGAGCUGCUCUUUUACCUUUCCUGUUUGAUUUCUUUUGAUCCAGUCAUGUAUAGUCACCUAACUUAAUAUCCUGUUACUUUACUGAAGGAAAUUUGUUCUCAAAAAGAAGGAAAUAAACACCACUUUUCCAAAACUGACAUAGAAGAACUUCAGGAGUUGUUGAUGCUCAGAAGUGUAAGAAGAACUGGCACAAUUCAGGAAACCUUGAAUGUCUACAGAAAAGAAAAACUGUCUGUAAAGAUUGUCCUGUCUUUGCAAUAUACUUUGUUCUGAAAAAAAUCAACCUUAAUUUAUUUUAUUUGAGCUAACUUGAAAAAAAAAACCUUAACCUUUGCGUAGCUUAGGUCUCAACAAACAUAUUAUGGUGCCCCAAGGAAAGUGAGGUUUAUUAUAGGUUGUUAAUCAGUUACAGGGAUGUGAACAAGGACAAACAUACUGCAAUAUGCAUUGCUGCAUAUUCAUAGAUUUCAUUUUGAUUACACAACUGCUUAAUUUGUUCUUAUUUUAUAAGUGGAAAAAAAACCAACAACACUAGAUUGAGUAUGUGACAAAUAACUGGGCACGUAGCUGAAUUUUCUAAUUGCAUUCUCAGAUGCUGCUUUUGAUUAGUAUUAUUGCUUAAAAGGGGUGAGAUGAAGUUCUACUUUGUUUACUACCAUGUCACCACAUGCAAAAUAAUUCAGGAGGUUUCUUCCUUUUUUUUUUUUUUUUUUAACUGUCUGAAGCAUUCCGACACUUGGGAAGAUGGAAUUCCACUUUCCUUAAUGCUAGGUGGUAAUAAAAGUUACACCCAUAGUUACAGAUGAAGCUACCUUGCAGAAUAAGAUUUCUGAAUUUGAUCAGCUUCUCUUUUUUGCAAAUUUAAAGAAAAAAAUGUGAUUAUUCUUGAACUAGUUGUUUCUCUUUAAAACUCAACAUUGUAAUCUUAAGAGAUUUCUAGUUGGUCUGAGCAAAUGCAUUUUUCAUGGUUUUUAUUUCCUUCUGUAUGCCAUUAAAUGUCUUUUUUUCUAAAUAAGAUAGUAAUAUAUGUGUAUGUUUAGUCAAAUUGAGACUUAGUUACCAAAUUUUUAUAUGCAGAAUCUUGGAAACGUUAUUUAAAGUCUAUGUACGCUCAAAUGUGAAGUUGUGUUCAGUUGUGUUCAGUUCUCAGAUACCUUUUUCUUUGGUUGGAGCUGGGGCUGUUUAUGAUUUUCUAAAUACACACAUGGCAGGUUUUUUAUAGUGGUAUUUCUGCAAGUCAAAACAUGAAUUCUUAAUGGUUACAAGGCUUUGUAAACCUAAAUUCCAUCUUACAAUUUUUUAAGACUCAUGCAGUUAAAGGCUUUUCCCGAUAUGGUGCUAUUACUAAAUACAGUAGUACAUUUUCUUUGUUUUCACCAACUCUAUAUGUUGAUAUGCAGUCACAGAACCCUAUUGAAAUGAUUGUUUCACAUAUAAAUAUUAAAUGCCUUUAAUUUCUUACUGCAUUUUAAAAUUAAUUUCUGAAAGCAGACUUCACUUUGCUCCCAGUCUCCUGUAAUAUGAUGUAGGGACUGUAGAAGUUUAAUAUAAACAGAUGUCACAGUGCUUGAGCAUUUACUUUGACAUAAAUUCUUCAAUAUUGAUGCUGCUGCUCCCAUUCUUUACAUUGUGUUGGAUGACUGAAUAAAAUUUAGUUAUGAAUUUUUGUAUAAAUGUCUGUACAAAUGUAGAUAUUUUAUGUACAUGGCUAUAAAUAAUUUAAAUGUAUUAAGUAGGGUGGCAUUUGAAACUUGUGGCUACAUGACUAAGGUAGUUUUUCUCCUAAAAAUUACUAAUAAAGUUCAGCUGAUUUCUCACUGGUAUUUAACCAGAGACCAAUUUAUACUGAGAAGAGAGUUUGAUAAAAUUACAGGGUCAUCACAGCUGAGUGUGAUUAGUCCUGUAUGAAAUCUGCUUCCAGAUGUAAGUCAGAGUGUGGUAGAAGACUAGAUUGUAUUUCCAGAGAAUAUUAACCUGUCAUCACUCUACACUUCUCUAAAGAAAUAUACAGCAAUUUAUCCAGUAAAUUUGGUUCAGUUCUGAUAGUCUGCAGCUACUUCUUCAAUUUUCUUUAAACCUGACAGUACCGUUACUCAGAUCUAUUACUUGCAUUUUUUGCUUUUCUUUCCUUGAAAUAAAAAGAAAAUUUGAAGGAAAA